GAUGAACGCCGGCGGUGUGCCUAAUACAUGCAAGUCGUACGCACUGGCCCAACUGAUUGAUGGUGCUUGCACCUGAUUGACGAUGGAUCACCAGUGAGUGGCGGACGGGUGAGUAACACGUAGGUAACCUGCCCCGGAGCGGGGGAUAACAUUUGGAAACAGAUGCUAAUACCGCAUAACAACAAAAGCCGCAUGGCUUUUGUUUGAAAGAUGGCUUUGGCUAUCACUCUGGGAUGGACCUGCGGUGCAUUAGCUAGUUGGUAAGGUAACGGCUUACCAAGGCGAUGAUGCAUAGCCGAGUUGAGAGACUGAUCGGCCACAAUGGAACUGAGACACGGCCCAA
rnacentral:rRNA from 1 species